rnacentral:rRNA from 1 species
AAAUUGAAGAGUUUGAUCAUGGCUCAGAUUGAACGCUGGCGGCAGGCCUAACACAUGCAAGUCGAACGGUAACAGGAAGCAGCUUGCUGCUUUGCUGACGAGUGGCGGACGGGUGAGUAAUGUCUGGGAAACUGCCUGAUGGAGGGGGAUAACUACUGGAAACGGUGGCUAAUACCGCAUAACGUCGCAAGACCAAAGAGGGGGCCUUCGGGCCUCUUGCCAUCAGAUGUGCCCAGAUGGGAUUAGCUAGUUGGUGAGGUAACGGCUCACCAAGGCGACGAUCCCUAGCUGGUCUGAGAGGAUGACCAGCCACACUGGAACUGAGACACGGUCCAGACUCCUACGGGAGGCAGCAGUGGGGAAUAUUGCACAAUGGGCGCAAGCCUGAUGCAGCCAUGCCGCGUGUAUGAAGAAGGCCUUCGGGUUGUAAAGUACUUUCAGCGGGGAGGAAGGUGUUGUGGUUAAUAACCACAGCAAUUGACGUUACCCGCAGAAGAAGCACCGGCUAACUCCGUGCCAGCAGCCGCGGUAAUACGGAGGGUGCAAGCGUUAAUCGGAAUUACUGGGCGUAAAGCGCACGCAGGCGGUCUGUCAAGUCGGAUGUGAAAUCCCCGGGCUCAACCUGGGAACUGCAUUCGAAACUGGCAGGCUUGAGUCUUGUAGAGGGGGUAGAAUUCCAGGUGUAGCGGUGAAAUGCGUAGAGAUCUGGAGGAAUACCGGUGGCGAAGGCGGCCCCCUGGACAAAGACUGACGCUCAGGUGCGAAAGCGUGGGGAGCAAACAGGAUUAGAUACCCUGGUAGUCCACGCCGUAAACGAUGUCUACUUGGAGGUUGUGCCCUUGAGGCGUGGCUUCCGGAGCUAACGCGUUAAGUAGACCGCCUGGGGAGUACGGCCGCAAGGUUAAAACUCAAAUGAAUUGACGGGGGCCCGCACAAGCGGUGGAGCAUGUGGUUUAAUUCGAUGCAACGCGAAGAACCUUACCUGGUCUUGACAUCCACAGAAGAAUCCAGAGAUGGAUUUGUGCCUUCGGGAACUGUGAGACAGGUGCUGCAUGGCUGUCGUCAGCUCGUGUUGUGAAAUGUUGGGUUAAGUCCCGCAACGAGCGCAACCCUUAUCCUUUGUUGCCAGCGGUCCGGCCGGGAACUCAAAGGAGACUGCCAGUGAUAAACUGGAGGAAGGUGGGGAUGACGUCAAGUCAUCAUGGCCCUUACGACCAGGGCUACACACGUGCUACAAUGGCGCAUACAAAGAGAAGCGACCUCGCGAGAGCAAGCGGACCUCAUAAAGUGCGUCGUAGUCCGGAUUGGAGUCUGCAACUCGACUCCAUGAAGUCGGAAUCGCUAGUAAUCGUGGAUCAGAAUGCCACGGUGAAUACGUUCCCGGGCCUUGUACACACCGCCCGUCACACCAUGGGAGUGGGUUGCAAAAGAAGUAGGUAGCUUAACCUUCGGGAGGGCGCUUACCACUUUGUGAUUCAUGACUGGGGUGAAGUCGUAACAAGGUAACCGUAGGGGAACCUGCGGUUGGAUCACCUCCUUA